rnacentral:rRNA from 1 species
GAUGAACGCUAGCGACAGGCCUAACACAUGCAAGUCGAGGGGCAGCACGAGGUAGCAAUACUAGGGUGGCGACCGGCGGACGGGUGAGUAACACGUAUGCAACCUGCCCGUAAUCGGGGGAUAACCCGGAGAAAUUCGGACUAACACUCCAUGUAUCUGUAUUAUUGCAUGAUAAAACAGAAAAACGCAAGGAUUACGGAUGGGCAUGCGGAUGAUUAGCUGGUUGGCGGGGUAACGGCCCACCAAGGCGACGAUCAUUAGGGGUUCUGAGAGGAAGGUCCCCCACAUUGGAACUGAGAAACGGUCCAAACUCCUACGGGAGCAGCAGUGAGGAAUAUUGGUCAAUGGGCGAGAGCCUGGAACCAGCCAAGUCGCGUGAAGGAAGAAGGUCUUAUGGAUUGUAAACUUCUUUAGCUAGGGGAAUAAAGGUUAUACGAGCUAAUAAUUUGCAGGUACUCUGCGAAAAGUCGGACUAACGUCCGUGCCAGCCAGCCGGGUAAACUGUAGUCGU